GUCCAUUUUUAAUUGGGUUCUUUGGUUUUGUUUUCAAUUUUGUUUUCUGGGUUUUGUUUCGGUUUCUUGAGUUAUAGGAAUCCUUAUACCUUUCCUUAUCAGAAACGUUUCCUUAUCAGAAACACGGUUUGCAAAUAUUUUCUCCUAUUCCGUGGGGUUGUCUAUUCAUUUUGUUGACUAUUUCUUUUGCUGUGCAGAGAUUCUUAGUUUAAGGUAAGACCACUUAUUCAUUUGGCCUUUUGUUGUCCAUGCUUUUGGUGUCCUACCCAAAAACCCAUUGGCAAGACCAAUUAUGACAGCAUUUUCUGAUAAAUAUUCUUCACUUGCCAUGUUUUCCUUUUAUUUCUGCCUUUUUCUCAGAGCCUUUCUUUUCUAGAACCACCGCCACCUCCUUGUUUCUAAGCCGAAUAUUUGCAGAAAACGUGUGUGGGCGACGGGCUGGGGCUGCGCUCUUGUGGCACAAGGCUGUGUGUGUGUGAGUGUGUUAUUUCAGCUCUUGCUUCUCGCAGAAGCUAAUGGGCCGCCCAGGACCCAGGGUGCCUCCUGCUCUGCCUCAUCCACAGACCGCUCACUGCCAGCCGAGUCUGCCUGCGUUUCUCCGUGUUCAGCCGCACCUUCCCUGACUCUUCGAGCCCACCUCCGUCAAGGCCAGCUCCGCCCUCCACCUGCUCCUGCUGGUUCCGAGCUCACUGCCCUGCAGUAUCCCGGUCUUUUUGCGCAUGUUCUCGGGGGAAAGAGAAAUUAGCUCUCCUCACGCCGUCCUGCAGGAUGCCGGAGACUUCGGCGCGUCCCUCGAUGCUCGAUGGAUGUAGGCGACCCUGAGAGUCACUCGUGGGGCCGGCGUUCUGCCUCAUCCGGCCCCGCGCACAUUAGCGAGAGCCUUUGCAGAUGCCUUUCUGCCUGUUCCCAUUCUUCACUCAUUUCUCCUACCAAGGAUAGUCAAGAGGGAAAAAGGAGAGAAAACUAGGAGGUGUAGAGCUUGGUAGUUAUUUUCAAGGGCUUCCCGGCGGUGUUACCCUGAACUGCAAAGCAAAACUCAGAAUAUUUUUGAAGCGAAGAUUAUGUGAAAUGCUCUCCAGACAGGCAAAGAUCAUCGCUGCCCGAUACACCUCCAGCAAGUGCCCACCGAUCCCUGCCUCAGACCGUAUUUUGUCUUUAAGCAUUUCUAAGGAAACAGUGGCCUUAAACACGAUCUCUGACGUUUGCUGAUCUUUCGCCAAUAUUUGUGCGCGGGGAAUCUCGUUUCCGAAAUAGAACUCACAAGGAACAGGCGGCCAGUGUGCGACGGAAGGCUUGCUCCAGGCGCUCUGACAAACCCGGGCCUCCCUCAGGUUUCCCGGAUGAAUUCACACGGGACGAGGAGAAGCACAGCGCGUGACACGCGGUGCCAGGGCCUGCCUGGGUCCCCGGCCUCCCAGCAGAGGCCCUGGGCCCCCAGGUGCUGCCUGGCCGGCCGCGCACAGACGGGAGGGUCUGAGCGGCCGUCGCCGCGCCGGCCCUGGGGG